rnacentral:rRNA from 1 species
UGCCGGACUGACUGCUAUCUGAUUGGUACUAAGCCAUGCGAGUCGUUGUACAAUACAAGGCGGACUGCUCAGUAACACAUAGUUAACUUAACCUAUGGAUGGGAAUAACCUCGGGAAACUGAGAAUAAUACCCAAUGGGCCACAGUGCCUGGAAUGGCCUGUGGUUGAAAUGAUUUACCGCCGUAGGAUAGGACUGCGGCCUAUCAGCUUGUUGGUGAGGUAAUGGCCCACCAAGGCUAUAACAGGUACGGGCUCUGAGAGGAGGGGCCCGAAGAUGGGUACUGAGACACGGACUCAGGCCCUAUGGGGCGCAGCAGGCGAGAAACCUUUGCAAUGUGCGAAAGCACGACAAGGUUAAUCCGAGUGUCUCCUGCUAAAGGAGUCUUUUGUCAGUUGUAGAAUCACUGGUGAAUAAGGGAUGGGCAAGUUCUGGUGUCAGCCGCCGCGGUAAAACCAGCACCUCGAGUGGUCAGGAGGUUUAUUGGGCCUAAAGCAUCCGUAGCCGGUUGCAUAAGUUUUCGGUUAAAUCUAUGCGCUUAACGUAUAGGCCGCCGAAAAUACUGUGCAGCUAGGGAGUGGGAGAGGUACACGGUACUCGAUAGGAAGGGG